GACGAACGCUGGCGGCGUGCCUAAUACAUGCAAGUCGAACGCUGAAGGAGGAGCUUGCUUCUCUGGAUGAGUUGCGAACGGGUGAGUAACGCGUAGGUAACCUGCCUGGUAGCGGGGGAUAACUAUUGGAAACGAUAGCUAAUACCGCAUAAUAUUGACUAUUGCAUGAUAGUCAGUUGAAAGGUGCAACUGCACCACUACCAGAUGGACCUGCGUUGUAUUAGCUAGUUGGUGGGGUAACGGCUCACCAAGGCGACGAUACAUAGCCGACCUGAGAGGGUGAUCGGCCACACUGGGAAUGAGACACGGCCCAGACUCCUACGGGAGGCAGCAGUAGGGAAUCUUCGGCAAUGGACGGAAGUCUGAACGAGCAACGCCGCGGGAGGGAAGAAGGGUUUCGGAUCGGAAAGCUCUGUUGUAAGGGAAGAACGAGUGUGAGAGUGGAAAGCUCACACUGUGACGGUAUCUUAACAGAAAGGGACGGCUAACUACGUG
rnacentral:rRNA from 1 species